CCUACGGGGGCACCAGUGGGGAAUAUUGCACAAUGGGCGCAAGCCUGAUGCAGCCAUGCCGCGUGUAUGAAGAAGGCCUACGGGUUGUAAAGUACUUUCAGCGGGGGGGAAGGUGUUGUGGUUAAUAACCACAGCAAUUGACGUUACCCGCAGAAGAAGCACCGGCUAACUCCGUGCCAGCAGCCGCGGUAAUACGGAGGGUGCAAGCGUUAAUCGGAAUUACUGGGCGUAAAGCGCAUGCAGGCGGCCUGUUAAGUCAGAUGUGAAAGCCCGGGGCUUAACCUCGGAAUUGCAUUUGAAACUGGCAGGCUAGAGUCUUGUAGAGGGGGGUAGAAUUUCAGGUGUAGCGGUGAAAUGCGUAGAGAUCUGAAGGAAUACCAGUGGCGAAGGCGGCCCCCUGGACAAAGACUGACGCUCAGAUGCGAAAGCGUGGGGAGCAAACAGGAUUAGAUACCCCUGUAGUC
rnacentral:rRNA from 1 species